rnacentral:rRNA from 1 species
UACGUAGGGUGCAAGCGUUGUCCGGAAUUAUUGGGCGUAAAGAGCUCGUAGGCGGUUUGUUGCGUUCGGCUGUGAAAUCCCGAGGCUCAACCUCGGGUCUGCAGUCGAUACGAGGCAAACUAGAGUGUUGCAGGGGAGACUGGAAUUCCUGGUGUAGCGGUGAAAUGCGUAGAUAUCAAGAGGAACACCUGAGGUGAAGACGGGUUGCUGGGCUGAAUACUGACGCUGAGGCGCGAAAGCUAGGGUAGCAAACGGG